rnacentral:rRNA from 1 species
UACGAAGGGUGCAAGCGUUACUCGGAAUUACUGGGCGUAAAGCGUGCGUAGGCGGUUUUUUAAGUCCGUUGUGAAAGCCCUGGGCUCAACCUGGGAAUGGCAGUGGAUACUGGAAAGCUAGAGUGCGGUAGAGGGUAGUGGAAUUCCCGGUGUAGCAGUGAAAUGCGUAGAGAUCGGGAGGAACACCAGUGGCGAAGGCGGCUACCUGGACCAGCACUGACACUGAGGCACGAAAGCGUGGGGAGCAAACAGG